rnacentral:hammerhead_ribozyme from 1 species
AUCUAACUGAUGAGUCCGAAAUAAAAUGAAAUGCGCGUCCUAGAU